rnacentral:misc_RNA from 1 species
UUAAGUUCAGCGGGUAGUCCUACCUGAUUUGAGGUCAAAAUUGUCAUUAUGUAUUGUCCCAGAAGGACGGUUAGAAGCAGCAUUAGUAGAUGUCCACGGCGUAGAUAAUUAUCACACCAAUAGACGAUUCCACAAGGGUACCAGCUAAUGUAUUUCAGGAGAGCUGACUUCAUUGAAGAAGCCUGCAAAACCCCCACAUC